CGCUGCGGCGGCCUAACACAUGCAAGUCCAACGGGAUUCUAGACUUCGGUUUAGAUGAGAGUGGCGCACGGGUGCGUAACGCGUAUGCAACCUACCCUUAACAGGGGGAUAGCCCAGAGAAAUUUGGAUUAAUACCCCGUAGUAUUAUAGAUAGGCAUCUAUUUAUAAUUAGAGCUUUUUGCGGUUAAGGAUGGGCAUGCGUCCUAUUAGCUAGUUGGUACGGUGACGGCGUACCAAGGCGACGAUAGGUAGGGGGCCUGAGAGGGUGAUCCCCCACACUGGUACUGAGACACGGACCAGACUCCUACGGGAGGCAGCAGUGAGGAAUAUUGGUCAAUGGGCGCGAGCCUGAACCAGCCAUGCCGCGUGCAGGAAGACGGCCCUCUGGGUUGUAAACUGCUUUUAUACGGGAAUAAACCCCUCUACGUGUAGAGGGCUGAAGGUACCGUAAGAAUAAGGAUCGGCUAACUCCGUGCCAGCAGCCGCGGUAAUACGGAGGAUCCAAGCGUUAUCCGGAUUUAUUGGGUUUAAAGGGUCCGUAGGCGGGUAAUUAAGUCAGAGGUGAAAUCCUGCAGCUCAACUGUAGCAUUGCCUUUGAUACUGGUUAUCUUGAGUGUAAUUGAAGUGGGCGGAAUGUGUCAUGUAGCGGUGAAAUGCAUAGAUAUGACACAGAACACCGAUUGCGAAGGCAGCUCACUAAGUUACAACUGACGCUGAUGGNACGAAAGCGUGGGGAGCAAACAGGAUUAGAUACCCUGGUAGUCCACGCCGUAAACGAUGAUCACUCGCUGUUGGCGAUAUACAGU
rnacentral:rRNA from 1 species